UUCUCAGAUAAAAAUAUUCUACAAUAGAUUAUGGUGAUGGUUGCAAACUCUAUGAGUAUACUAAAAACCAUCGAAUUAUAUACUUUAGGUAGAUGAAUAUAUGUUAUGUUAAUUAUAUGCAAUAUGAAUCACAUCUUAAAGCUGUUUCGAAAAAACUAAAAUUCAUAAACGCUGAGAACUUUGCAUUUCUGAAUAAUGUUGUAACAUUUGACUCUAUUUCAUACACAAGUAACUUCUUCAAAACAAAAAAGAACCAUGCUGAUGAAAUCAACCCAAUAGCCCCACAGGCAGUUUUUUUCUUGGAAAUAUAUAGAAAUUGAUCCUUUGGGUCUUAAGGCUUGAAACUUACAUUUGUUUUAUCUGAGUUCCUUCCUCAGGAAAGGACUCCCAGCCUCUCAAAAAGUAUCAAAAAACUAAAACUCACCAGACCAUUGUAACCAGACAAUGAGAUGCCAGACCCCUCAUUCAUCAUGACCGCUUCCUUUUUUUAUUUUUUAUUUUAUUCAUUUAUUUUUUUUUUUUUUUUUGGUUUAUAGGAGAGAUUUAUUUGAAGAAAUAUUACAACAUAUAAAAACUACAUAAAAUCUUAAUUUCCACUCAUACAGUGGUAGAUUUGAUAUAAUGCAUAAUAAAAAAACUUUUAAAAUCCAGAAUGCACAAAGUACUGCACAAUUUGAUCACUAAAUCAUUAGUUGGUAAGCGAACCUCACACAACAGCUUCAUGUCAGCCAAGGCCACAAAUACCAUGUACCACACAUGUGAACGGACAGAUUGACAUGUUAAAAACACAACAUCGGUGCAUGUUGGGGAUUCCUGGUGCCAGAAACAUGGGUGAAGGGAGGGCAGAACUAGUCCUUAGCAGCUUCCUCCUCCUUUAUUUUAGCUGAGGCACUCUCUCGGGCUUUGGCCAACACACAGAGCUUGAUCUCCAAGCCGAUGGCUUUGGCCAGGGGUGGUGGCACGGCAUUGCCCACCUGCCGGUGCUUGUCCAGGAUAUUGCCAAAGAGCCGGUAGGUGUCAGGGAAGCCCUGGGAGCAGGCACACUCCCGCACACUCACCACACGGUGUUGCUCGGGGUGGAGCACGCGGCCCUGCUUGCCCAUGGGCUCGGGGUUGGUGACAGUUGUGCUGAAGAAGCCGUCCCACUCAAGCCUUCCAUAGAGGCCAGCCCAGUGGUUGUGCCGGUUCCCAGUGUGGGGCAGGCACCAGGGGAUGAGGGUGUUGAACUGCCUAGCUGCAGGGUCGCAGGCUUUGCCUGCUUCCACACAGGAGCAGACCCCACGGAGGGCCCUGGAGCUGCUGCGACCGUUCUUCCUGUUGUGAUGUGGUCCCUGAGGAUGGGCUGGUACUGUGUGCCCCAGAGCUGCCUCUGGAACCAGGACUGAGGCUCCCCGUUGUAGGAGAUCUCCAGCGCCGAGGCUCCAUUCUGCACCUCCAGCAGGUCAGACAUCGUGUCUCGCACCGUGAUGGUCCAGAAAGGACCCGAGCUCAACCUGGUUAUGUUGCUCACGAACUUCUUGUCGUCCACCACCUAGUGGACGCCCCCCACUAGUUCCUGUUUUCCCAUACAUUUCUUCCCUGCUAUAUAAACCCCUAAAUUUAGUCAGUCAAGGAGAUGGAUUUGAGACUGAUCUCCCAAAUCUUUAACCGGAGUACCCAAUUAUAGCCUUGUUUCCUGGCUAUGUUUAUUGUCCCAAUUAUUGUUUUUCUGCGUAGUGAGCAGCAGGACCUAGGCCAAAUCCCUGCUGUUUUGGUAACCCUGGAACCAAAAAUAAUGGUGAACUGCUGCACCAUUCAUUGUGAAAGCACACCCCACAACAAACUACAAUUAGAAGGGGACCAACAAAAUGUCUGCCUAGAGGGUGAAUCCCAUGGCACCUGCUCAGCAUUUUGAGGAUCAGUCUAUAUAAAGCUAAAGAGAAAAACAAGUGGACUUUGUUUCCAUUGCAAUGAAAUCCAGUAGGUGCUUGGUUGAAGGGGAGAAAUUCAUAUUAUCUCCUCAUCAACCUUGUUCAAUGCUUGAUCUCCUGAAGCAUUGAGAUGCUAAAAUCCAAUUGUAGAAAAAUCUUUUCUUUCAUUUUUGCUUUAUGUAUUUCUAUACCAUUUGAAUGUUUUCAAAACAACUUGUAACAUUUUGCUCUUCUUAUUCAAAGUAUUUUUGUGUUGAAGAAGUAGGAAGAUGUCUCAAACUGGGACUGCGCCUGGGCCUUUUGUAUGAUAAGAACAACAGAAUGUCCUAAUUAACUUAAAAUUAUCUACUUGGAGGCUGGCUUCUUAGGAGAGGCCUCCCCUUCCUAUGGACACAAAACUACAUAUGAAUUAUGUGAGAUCUCCUAUAGGCUCGUAUAGCUUCCUAAAAUCCUUUCUGGAAAGAAGGAGGGCAUUGCAAAAUAAAUCUUCAGUAGCAAUUGAUACA
rnacentral:lncRNA from 13 species